rnacentral:rRNA from 1 species
UACGAAGGGGGCUAGCGUUGCUCGGAAUCACUGGGCGUAAAGCGCACGUAGGCGGCUUGUUAAGUCGGGGGUGAAAUCCUGGAGCUCAACUCCAGAACUGCCCUCGAUACUGAUGAGCUCGAGUCCGGGAGAGGUGAGUGGAACUGCGAGUGUAGAGGUGAAACUCGUAGAUAUUCGCAAGAACACCAGUGGCGAAGGCGGCUCACUGGCCCGGUACUGACGCUGAGGUGCGAAAGCGUGGGGAGCAAACAGG